CACAGGAGCUCUUCUGUCCUGCCUUUCUUUGCAGCUGAACCUGCUGGUGAAGGUGGUGCAGCUUCCCAGCUCAUGUCCAUUACUGAGCCUCUGGGCAAUGCUGAGGAUGUGUCUGCAGGGAGGACUUUCCCAGGUCCUUUGGUGGAUGUUGCAUGCAAGCCCAGCUCCCAUCACAGGGGUCCUCCAAGACGGAAGAAGAAACCUACAGGAGCUCGUACAUCCCUGGAGGAAUCCAAACAUCUGGAAAAACUCCUGCGUGAUGUGGAAAGCCAGCGUGAUGCAGCCAGCACCUCAACACAUUCUGACAUCAUCUGGAAAAGCAUGAGAAGAGUUUUCUGCUGGGGAACACCUUGUUUGAUUAAGUUGAUGGCCAUUGUGGCUGGUGCGGCACUGUGCCUGAUGAUGUGCUGUGCAGGAAUCUGGUAUUGCUGGACGAGAAA